CCUACGGGUGGCAGCAGUGAGGAAUAUUGGUCAAUGGGCGCGAGCCUGAACCAGCCAAGUCGCGUGAAGGAUGACUGCCCUAUGGGUUGUAAACUUCUUUUAUCAAGGAGUAAAGUGAGGCACGUGUGCCUUUUUUUAUGUUCUUGAUGAAUAAGGAUCGGCUAACCACGUUCCCGGAGCCGCGGUAAUAAGGAGGAACCGAGAUUUAUACGGGUUUAUUUGGUUUAAGGGGAACGUAGAGGGGUUGUUAAGUCAGUUGGUAAAGUUGUCGGCUUAAACGUAAAAGUGAAAUUGAUAUUGGCAGCCUUGAGUACAGUUGAGGUAGGCGGAAUUCGUGGUGUAGCGGUGAAAUGCUUAGAUAUCACGAAGAACUCCGAUUGCGAAGGCAGCCUACUAAACUGCCACUGACAGUGAUGCUCGAAAGUGUGGGUAUCAAACAGGAUUAGAUACCCUAGUAGUC
rnacentral:rRNA from 1 species